GCAUACAAAGCUCACCGACUCAGUUCAUCGCAAGAACCAGUUGAACCUAAUUACAGAAUCACUGUUUCGCCUUUCACCUUUCACUCAGCUUUCUGACGCUCUGUGUUUCGCCUUUCACCUGCAGGUUCCGUUGCCGGAGGCGGCCGAGCCCACAACACCGGGCACCGGAUUUGAAGUGGCAUUUAAAUUGUGAAAUUUGGUGAAAAUAUAAUGUAAUUUUUCAAUGAAUAGUCUUGAUUUAGCACAUAGAAAACACUAAUGGUUUGGAUUCAUCCUAUAAGUAUUAACGUUUAUGAUAUAGGCUGUAGAAUUUUCCUAAUAUUUACCAUGUGAGAAUGUCUAAGUGUGAGCAAAUAUAUGUGGGUGUACUUUAUUGGUAUGCCUAUUGUGUUUCAUAUGUAUUGUUCUUUAUUGAGUCAAUUGGGAAAUCCUUGCUUCUUUUAAUAUUAAUAAUACAAAUAGGUGCCUUCAAUUAUGCUACUACCAUAGAACUGUAAGGUGGUUUAUCUUGUCUGUCCCUUAUUCCAGGCUCUUGGGC
rnacentral:lncRNA from 1 species